GGUUAAGCGACUAAGCGUACACGGUGGAUGCCCUGGCAGUCAGAGGCGAUGAAGGGCGUGCUAAUCUGCGAUAAGCGCCGGUAAGGUGAUAUGAACCGUUAUAACCGGCGAUACCCGAAUGGGGAAACCCAGUGUGAYUCGUCACACUAUCAUUAACUGAAUCCAUAGGUUAAUGAGGCGAACCGGGGGAACUGAAACAUCUAAGUACCCCGAGGAAAAGAAAUCAACCGAGAUUCCCCCAGUAGCGGCGAGCGAACGGGGAGGGGGCGUUAAGUUGCAGGGUAUAGACCCGAAACCCGGUGAUCUAGCCAUGGGCAGGUUGAAGGUUGGGUAACACUAACUGGAGGACCGAACCGACUAAUGUUGAAAAAUUAGCGGAUGACCUGUGGCUGGGGGUGAAAGGCCAAUCAAACCGGGAGAUAGCUGGUUCUCCCCGAAAGCUAUUUAGGUAGCGCCUCGUGAAYUCAUCUCCGGGGGUAGAGCACUGUUUCGGCUAGGGGGCCAUCCCGGCUUACCAACCCGAUGCAAACUGCGAAUACCGGAGAAUGUUAUCACGGGAGACACACGGCGGGUGCUAACGUCCGUCGUGAAGAGGGAAACAACCCAGACCGCCAGCUAAGGUCCCAAAGUCAUGGUUAAGUGGGAAACGAUGUGGGAAGGCCCAGACAGCCAGGAUGUUGGCUUAGAAGCAGCCAUCAUUUAAAGAAAGCGUAAUAGCUCACUGGUCGAGUCGGCCUGCGCGGAAGAUGUAACGGGGCUAAACCAUGCACCGAAGCUGCGGCAGCGAACGUAUCACUUAAAGCGAUUCAGCGGGUUACGAUUGACGGAGCGAAGCGACGUCAAAGCGUAUACAAAGUCGAGUCGGUUUAAGGAUACGUUCGUUGGGUAGGGGAGCGUUCUGUAAGCCUGYGAAGGUGGCCUGUGAGGGUUGCUGGAGGUAUCAGAAGUGCGAAUGCUGACAUAAGUAACGAUAAAGCGGGUGAAAAGCCCGCUCGCCGGAAGACCAAGGGUUCCUGUCCAACGUUAAUCGGGGCAGGGUGAGUCGACCCCUAAGGCGAGGCCGAAAGGCGUAGUCGAUGGGAAACGGGUUAAUAUUCCCGUACUUGGUGUUACUGCGAAGGGGGGACGGAGAAGGCUAUGUUGGCCGGGCGACGGUUGUCCCGGUUUAAGCGUGUAGGUGUGUGUUCCAGGUAAAUCCGGUUCACUUUAACACUGAGGCGUGAYGACGAGGCACUACGGUGCUGAAGCAACAAAUGCCCUGCUUCCAGGAAAAGCCUCUAAGCAUCAGGUAACAYSAAAUCGUACCCCAAACCGACACAGGUGGUCAGGUAGAGAAUACCAAGGCGCUUGAGAGAACUCGGGUGAAGGAACUAGGCAAAAUGGUGCCGUAACUUCGGGAGAAGGCACGCUGACAYGUAGGUGAAGUGAUUUACUCAYGGAGCUGAAGUCAGUCGAAGAUACCAGCUGGCUGCAACUGUUUAUUAAAAACACAGCACUGUGCAAACACGAAAGUGGACGUAUACGGUGUGACGCCUGCCCGGUGCCGGAAGGUUAAUUGAUGGGGUCAGCGCAAGCGAAGCUCCUGAUCGAAGCCCCGGUAAACGGCGGCCGUAACUAUAACGGUCCUAAGGUAGCGAAAUUCCUUGUCGGGUAAGUUCCGACCUGCACGAAUGGCGUAAUGAUGGCCAGGCUGUCUCCACCCGAGACUCAGUGAAAUUGAACUCGCUGUGAAGAUGCAGUGUACCCGCGGCAAGACGGAAAGACCCCGUGAACCUUUACUAUAGCUUGACACUGAACAUUGAGCCUUGAUGUGUAGGAUAGGUGGGAGGCUUUGAAGUGUGGACGCCAGUCUGCAUGGAGCCGACCUUGAAAUACCACCCUUUAAUGUUUGAUGUUCUAACGUGGACCCGUAAUCCGGGUUGCGGACAGUGUCUGGUGGGUAGUUUGACUGGGGCGGUCUCCUCCUAAAGAGUAACGGAGGAGCACGAAGGUUGGCUAAUCCUGGUCGGACAUCAGGAGGUUAGUGCAAUGGCAUAAGCCAGCUUGACUGCGAGCGUGACGGCGCGAGCAGGUGCGAAAGCAGGUCAUAGUGAUCCGGUGGUUCUGAAUGGAAGGGCCAUCGCUCAACGGAUAAAAGGUACUCCGGGGAUAACAGGCUGAUACCGCCCAAGAGUUCAUAUCGACGGCGGUGUUUGGCACCUCGAUGUCGGCUCAUCACAUCCUGGGGCUGAAGUAGGUCCCAAGGGUAUGGCUGUUCGCCAUUUAAAGUGGUACGCGAGCUGGGUUUAGAACGUCGUGAGACAGUUCGGUCCCUAUCUGCCGUGGGCGCUGGAGAACUGAGGGGGGCUGCUCCUAGUACGAGAGGACCGGAGUGGACGCAUCACUGGUGUUCGGGUUGUCAUGCCAAUGGCACUGCCCGGUAGCUAAAUGCGGAAGAGAUAAGUGCUGAAAGCAUCUAAGCACGAAACUUGCCCCGAGAUGAGUUCUCCCUGAGACUUAGAGUCUCCUGAAGGAACGUUGAAGACGACGACGUUGAUAGGCCGGGUGUGUAAGCGCAGCGAUGCGUUGAGCUAACCGGUACUAAUGAACCGUGAGGCUUAACCUU
rnacentral:rRNA from 1 species